rnacentral:rRNA from 2 species
CGGCGAGUGAGCGGCAAGAGCUCAAAUUUGAAAGCUGGCUCCUUCGGGGUCCGCAUUGUAAUUUGCAGAGGAUGCUUCGGGAGUGGCCCCCAUCUAAGUGCCCUGGAACGGGCCGUCAUAGAGGGUGAGAAUCCCGUCUGGGAUGGGGUGUCCACGCCCGUGUGAAGCUCCUUCGACGAGUCGAGUUGUUUGGGAAUGCAGCUCUAAAUGGGUGGUAAAUUUCAUCUAAAGCUAAAUACUGGCCGGAGACCGAUAGCGCACAAGUAGAGUGAUCGAAAGAUGAAAAGCACUUUGAAAAGAGAGUUAAACAGCACGUGAAAUUGUUGAAAGGGAAGCGCUUGCGACCAGACUCGCCCACGGGGUUCAGCCGGCAUUCGUGCCGGUGUACUUCCCCGCGGGCGGGCCAGCGUCGGUUUGGGCGGCCGGUCAAAGGCCCUCGGAAUGUAACGCCCCCCGGGGCGUCUUAUAGCCGAGGGUGCCAUGCGGCCAGCCCGGACCGAGGAACGCGCUUCGGCUCGGACGCUGGCAUAAUGGUCG